UACAGAGGUCUCAAGCGUUGUUCGGAUUCAUUGGGCGUAAAGGGUGUGUAGGUGGCGCCGUAAGUCGGGUGUGAAAUUUCGGAGCUUAACUCCGAAACUGCAUUCGAUACUGCCGGUGCUUGAGGACUGGAGAGGAGACUGGAAUUUACGGUGUAGCGGUGAAAUGCGUAGAUAUCGUAAGGAAGACCAGUGGCGAAGGCGGGUCUCUGGACAGUUCCUGACGCUGAGGCACGAAGGUCAGGGGAGCAAACGGG
rnacentral:rRNA from 1 species